rnacentral:rRNA from 1 species
GACGAACGCUGGCGGCGUGCCUAACACAUGCAAGUCGAGCGGGGAGGAGGAAGCUUGCUUCCGAAUCCUAGCGGCGGACGGGUGAGUAACGCGUGAGCAACCUGCCUUGAACUGGGGGAUAACGCAUCGAAAGAUGUGCUAAUACCGCGUAAGACCACAGUACCGCAUGGUACAGGGGUCAAAGGAGCAAUCCGGUUUAAGAUGGGCUCGCGUCCGAUUAGCUAGUUGGUGAGAUAACAGCCCACCAAGGCAACGAUCGGUAGCCGACCUGAGAGGGGUGAUCGGCCACAUUGGAACUGAGACACGGUCCAG